rnacentral:rRNA from 1 species
CCUACGGGAGGCAGCAGUGAGGAAUAUUGGUCAAUGGGCGGAAGCCUGAACCCGCCAAGUCGCGUGAGGGAAUAAGGCCCUACGGGUCGUAAACCUCUUUUGCCGGGGAGCAAGGGCGGGGACGUGUCCCGGCCCGGAGAGUACCCGGAGAAAAAGCAUCGGCAAACUCCGUGCCAGCAGCCGCGGUAAUACGGGGGAUGCGGCGUUUAUCCGGAUUUAUUGGGUUAAAAGGGUGCGUAGUCGGGUUUUUAAGUCAGCGGUAAAAAUUCGGGGCUCAACCCCGUCGUGCCGGUGAAACUGGUGGCCUUGAGUGGGCGAGAAGAAGGCGGAAUGCGUGGUGUAGCGGUGAAAUGCAUAGAUAUCAGGCAGAACCCCGAUGGCGAAGGCAGGCUUCCGGCGCCCUACUGACGCUGAGGCACGAAAGUGCGGGGAGCGAACAGGAUUAGAUACCCGUGUAGUC